rnacentral:rRNA from 1 species
UCGUGAGAUGUUCGGUUAAGUCCGCUAACGAGCGCAAACCCCUCGCUGUGUGUUAUAUGUGUCACACGGGACUGCCGGUCUUAAGCCGGAGGAAGGUGGGAUGAUGUCAAGUCAGCAUGGCCUUUAUAUCCUGGGCUACACACACGCUACAAUGGCCAACACAAUAGGUUGCUAAGCCGCGAGGUGGCGCCAAUCCAUAAAGUUGGUCUCAGUUCAGAUUGUAGGCUGCAACCCGCCUGCAUGAAGAUGGAGUUGCUAGUAACCGCAGGUCAGCUAUACUGCGGUGAAUACGUUCCCGGGGCUU